UUAGUGCGUAGCUUAAGAAAUUAGCUACCUCGUGCUUAACUCCAGUAAUGCCCAUCACUUGGCAUAACCUUAUAUAUGUUAACGUGAUACUCCAUUUUAAAUUUCGUAGCAAUCGGAGUUGUAGAACUCCGUUUAUAGCGAUUUCCGUCGGAAAAUCACAAAUAUUUUAAUGGUCAUAACUUGGUCGUUUUAACUCGGAAUAAGCUCAUUUUUGGACACGAGCUACAUAUUAUCAUAUAUUUUCAUUUCCCAAAAGCCUGGAAUUUUUCUCAUUAACUAAAUGUCCAAAACAGCCCUUGGAAAAUUUUGGCCAGAAACUUUUUGCACUUUGGCAGUUUUGGAGUCCUUCACCAAAACUUAAAUAAAAGGAAAUAUGUAACUCCGAUUAAUGAUCCGUCAAUUUUGUUGGAUUCGUAUCUUUCCGAACUAUAGUUUUCAUAUAUCACAAUCCAUAUUUGGAUAUGUUUAGCUCCCGGAAUUUAGCCCGGAAGUGACUGCUCCAAAACUGUCCUUUUCACAAUUUUCUUAACUUUGUGUAGUUUGGUAAAAAUCCCAUAACUUGCUCCUCCGAUAUCGG
rnacentral:lncRNA from 1 species